AAAUGUGUUGUUUUGUUUUUUGUCUGGAAAAGGCAGUUCAUAGUUGAGUUGGGUUCACUCAGGGUUUUGUUUCUUUCCUUCAGAUGGAGUGAAUAUGAUGAUUCUGUGAAGGUUUAUUGCAACAUGGCUUUUUCAGCACAGCAACAGGAAAAUUUGACUCUGGGUCUGUUCUACAAAAUUAAAGUCAUGGGAUGCUCGUGAAUUAAGAAACAACCAAAAAUGCCAAAUAUUGAGACUCUUGAAAUCAAAUUAAGUAUGAUCUGAGAUUAAGAGCUUCUGAGAAGAAUUUAAGCAUGAACAUAUAUAUUGAUAUGAAGUCCACUUACAAUGAAGAAAGGAGUGACCUCUCGAUCAACUAUGGAUGUUAUAUUAAUUUCACCAGUUUUCUGAUUAAUGACAAAGAUCCCAUAUGGUGGCUGAUCAAUUCCUACUCCAGAGAUGCGGGUCUGUGCUUGCACUGGAGCUACAGAAGGAAACUCCUUGCCCUCUUAAGGAGUUUAUCAAUGUUGUCAUCAUGCAACUUUAAUCUUCAAUUUGUUUUAAAUGUAAAGUUUUCGAAGAAAGUAGAUUUAUUUAGGUGACAAGAGUUAUCUGGGUUUGAGUGGAAGCUCUGAAUUCUGAAAAUGGGAAGGGUGUAUUAGCAGAAAAGGAAGGAGACCACAUGAAUAAAUGGUUAUAGAAACCAGAACUCUUUCUUUGAAAUAAAAUAUUGUUUGGCUGUAAACAAAUCUUAGUGGGGAGUAUUUGUGAGUGUCUGUGUGGAUGUGUGUGUAUAUUUGUGUGUGUAUCUGUAGACGUGUACAUCUGUAUGUUCAUGAAUUUGUGGGGGGUGUUUCUGAGUGUGUGUGUAUGUAGAAAGGAAGAUAUGGAAAAAUGAAUAGAAAAGGGGUAUGAGAGAGGGCACCUUGUGAAUGUUAAUAAACAAACAAAAAAGUAGGAAUUCAAUUCUAAUACAUUGUGAGGCAAAAAGAGCACACAUUGAAGUAAUUCCUUUGAAUGUGCUGAAAGCCAAAUUCUUUAUUAAAAUAAUGAUCUUUUUUCACCUGGAGUUUGGGAUAACACAUGAUCAUGUGUAUGCAUUUCACCAGUGAGGUGAGUCAACGUUUACCUGUUUCUCUGAGCACCUGCAUUUCUUAAUUUCUCCUUAUGAGUUUCAGUUUUCAUCAUCUAGAUGACUAUAGUUCUGUUCUGUAUCGUAGUUUCUCGGUGAGACAUGUUCAUGAAAUAUUUAACAGACAGUUUCUUUUGAAACUUUAUCCAUUCUGAUUUUCAAUGUUAUGCUUUGGAGUUGAUACCUACUUUGGCGAUUGGGUUCCUCUUUGAGUUGUCUUCACCUUCACGACAGGCUGCUGCGAACUUGAUCCAUUCACGUUUCUGCCUUCGGAUUGAAUGCCAUUUGAUGGUGCCAUUUUUAGUGUUAUAAUCUCUUACCUUAAAUGACAGCAAUAAAGAAAUGGUAUAUAUUAAUUUGAAUUCGUAAUUCAAAUUCCACUGAGAUUUUUGGAAGAGGAUAUAAUCUCAGAAAUAGAGGAUGUUUAAUCGGGAAAAUUGGUAAUUUUGGUAAUCUAUUAAUUUUAGCAUUAUAUGAACUUGACUUAUGAGAAUACAUUUUCUUCAGAAAAUAUAUUGUUAUUCUCAAAUUAUUUUCUUGUUUAAAAAUUUGGAAAAAUGGAUUUGUUAUAUAUUACCUGGAUUCGGAAUUCACUGUUAACUUCUACCACCACCUGUAAAAAAUAAGAUAAUCACACUAGUUAUUUUUAAUUAAAUGCUUUAAAAUUUAUAUUAUCCAGUUACUUUAAAAACAACAUGAAACCAUAGGCUUUUGAGUCAUUAAAAUUAUUUUAUCAGCCAAAUAGCAGGUGGAUUUGGUUUAUGUCUUGGGUCUGAUGAUGAUGCUAAGAAUUUUUGUUUUUACCUUUCAAUUUACUCUCCUUUUUAUUACUAUUAUUUUGUACUUUUAUUUCUCCCUAAAUAAGAAAUUUUCAACUUUUAAUUGAAUUUAUUCAGAAUUGCAAAGUAUGAAAAACUUUAUUUGUAUAACUGAUAUAAGAAAAUUAUAGUUUACAUUUAAAAAUACUAACAGUAGUAAUUUAAAAAUAUAAAAAAGUUCUUUUUAUAGUUAAUUUUAAUUGUACCAUUAAAGAAAAUAUAAACU